rnacentral:rRNA from 1 species
UAGGGAAUCUUCCGCAAUGGACGCAAGUCUGACGGAGCAACGCCGCGUGAGUGAAGAAGGAUUUCGGUUCGUAAAACUCUGUUGUUAGAGAAGAACAGCGCAUAGAGUAACUGUUAUGCGUGUGACGGUAUCUAACCAGAAAGCCACGGCUAACUACGUGCCAGCAGCCGCGGUAAUACGUAGGUGGCAAGCGUUGUCCGGAUUUAUUGGGCGUAAGCGAGCGCAGGCGGUCAAUUAAGUCUGAUGUGAAAGCCCCCGGCUCAACCGGGGAGGGUCAUUGGAAACUGGUUGACUUGAGUGCAGAAGAGGAGAGUGGAAUUCCAUGUGUAGCGGUGAAAUGCGUAGAUAUAUGGAGGAACACCAGUGGCGAAGGCGACUCUCUGGUCUGUAACUGACGCUGAGGCUCGAAAGCGUGGGUAGCAAACAGG